rnacentral:tRNA from 1 species
UGUAAAAAGGUGAAUGAGCACAUGAAAUUUUGAAUUUCAAGGAAAAGUUUAAAUCUUUAUUUUACAA